ACUCCUACGGGAGGCAGCAGUGGGGAAUUUUCCGCAAUGGGCGAAAGCCUGACGGAGCAAUACCGCGUGAGGGAUGAAAGCCUGUGGGUUGUAAACCUCUUUUCUCAAGGAAGAAGUUCUGACGGUACUUGAGGAGUAAGCAUCGGCUAACUCUGUGCCAGCAGCCGCGGUAAUAC
rnacentral:rRNA from 1 species